GCGUACAAAAUAUAAAACAAAUAAAACUGACAUGCUCCGUGAAGCAUAUCUUAUCAAAAAAAUAAUCUGUAUAUUUUUAAGGUGCAUUUGAAAUAAACAAAUCCUUACAUAUUUCUUAGAAAAUAAUUUACUUUGUUUGGAAAAUCAUAACUUAAAUACACAAUACGAAACCAAAGUUCACAUUUAUUGAACAAUACAGCAUCAUGCAAGGUUUUUUUUUGUAAACAUGCCAAUUAAGCUCAUAAAUAACAUUAAUUUUUAAUUACUUAAAUAUGUGAUAUUUUCCUAUGAUAAUGUUCUUCCACAAAAUAGUACUCGUUAGAUACCGAGCAUUGAUUAU